CAAGAGUCUCCUUCCUUCUCCUUUGCAAACUCACGGCACAAGAGGGAUGUUUGGGUGAAUGGUGUAGAGAAAAUAUGGUAGAGGGUGGUGAGAAUGAAAGGGUGCGGCACUACAUAUAUAUAGGCUGAAAAUCACAGCCCCUAGGUAGCAAAGGAAAAGGAUUUAAAGGCCUAAUUUGCAUAGGAAAAUAAAACACAAUCCUUGAAGGAAAACAAAUCAGAAAUCCAAAGGGAAUGGGAGGAUAAGGUGCGGCACUAAACUAGGAAGGGAUAAGGGCUUCUAGAAACCAAAAUCCCAAGGGAAUUGGGUAAAAACUCACGGCACCAUUUGGAGGGAAAGUGGCUGAAUUGCAAUGCAAGGCAAAGGUCUUCUAGAAAGGUUCUAGGCGCCACCUUUGUAGGAAAGGAUUAGGUCUUCUAGAAAUCUGAUUUUAAGCAUUCUAAUAUAGUUAGGAAUCCUCCCAAGUAGCUGAAAUAUAUGUGGAUUAGGAUUAGGAUAAGAUAGGAUAGGAUAAGGUUUGGAUAAUGUUUUGGAUAAGGUUUCUUCACUUGAGCUGAUUCUUUGGCUUUAACUUCCCAUCUUCAAGUAGGAAACCUUGUUUGAGUAGGAAACUUCAAUCUUCUAGAAAUCCAAGUUCAACUAGGAAUCAUUCUUCAACUAGGAAUCCUUCUUCAACUAGGAAUCCAUUGUUGACUAGGAUUUCAUCUUCAAUUAAGCACUUUCCUACUUCACUUAGGAAACUUUGCAUCUUCAAUUCUUCAACUUUGAAACACAUUCCUAGCCUCAUUAAUCCUUCAAAUUCGUCCAUUCUUUGUGCUCCACAUGCAUGAGCUCCAUUCUAGCUCAAUUUUGCUCCAAAAUGCUCCAAUUUACAUCUUUUUGCUUACUUUGUCCUUAAAACCUGAAAACGCAUGAAAAUAGCUUAAAAGACUAACUUAACUAAGAAAACACAACAUAAAUGCAUAAGAAC
rnacentral:lncRNA from 1 species